rnacentral:rRNA from 1 species
GACGAACGCUGGCGGCGUGCUUAACACAUGCAAGUCGAGCGGUAAGGCCCUUUCGGGGGUACGACGAGCGGCGAACGGGUGAGUAACACGUGGGUGACCUGCCCUCAGCUCUGGGAGUAAGCCUGGGAAACUGGGUCUAAUACUGGAUAUGACUCCACGGUGCAUGUCGUGGGGUGGAAAGCCUUGUGCGGCUGAGGAUGGGCCCGCGGCCUAUCAGCUAGUUGGUGGGGUAAAAGCCUACCAAGGCGGCGACGGGUAGCUGGUCUGAGAGGAUGAUCAGCCACACUGGGACUGAGACACGGCCCAGACUCCUACGGGAGGCAGCAGUGGGGAAUAUUGGACAAUGGGCGAAAGCCUGAUCCAGCAAUGCCGCGUGUGUGAAGAAGGCCUGGCGGGUUGUAAAGCACUUUCAGUGGGGAAGAAAGCGUUGGUGUGAAUAGCGCCGAGUCUUG